GUGUUUUAUCUUCUGUGCGGGAGAUUUUUCUGCGUUGCCUCACGAAGGAUCGAUCAAAAACUCGCAAAGGUCACUGAAGCGUUGACCGGGUGGUUUUCGCGGCUCCUACGAGCAGUUGCUUGACGAGGCGCGUCAUGACAAGGGAAACUAGCCGAGCUUUCCGCGUGUGAGAAGCUACGCACUGCGGAACGAAGCCACAGAUCUUACUGUGUCGAACAUUCUCCCGGUUCGUACGUUGAAAUCAGAAGGCCUUUGAAACUGUGCUUGACAAUGGUUUUUUCAUCGGACCUCCUCGACCUGGUUCCGAAAAGUUCGUUCCCUUGUUUCUCCUGUGGUUUCCUUGCCUUCUAGUUCACCAAGCGCGGUGGUAUACAUGUGGUUGCAAUGUUCCGUAACCGUUCGUACUUUUUACAGGGAACAAGUACUGGGUUCGUGGUAGCACUGAAGCUUGCCUAUUCUGCCCACGUAUAUAUGUUGUGUCCCUCGAGGAUCUUUUCGUCAGCUUCGGCACGAUUGCCGCUCCCAAUCGCGGAGGAGCACAAGUGCAAUACCGCAGUUCCGGGCUGGCAGACGUAAACUACGACAUGUCGAAGAACGGCGUCUAGGAUACGAACGAACCUUCCAUAGGUCCAUGACCGUAGAGUUGGCGUUCGGCAUCAGAGAAGACGCCAUCGACUGGAUUCAACGAGGAGAUAUGUGCCGGCACCAAGAGCAGUGCAACGCGAAGCGCAGCAGUGUGCUCCACGACUUCUGUUGCAUGAUGAUAAGCGACGUUGUCAUCGACCAGAACAGAGGAAUGUGAGAUGGAGAAUCUCCAACGUGCUUCACUAAAAAUAUGCGAUAUUGGAUGACCCUGUACGAAUGGACAUUUCGAGGCGACCACAGCACUGCAUCGUCGCAGAGUCUGACGUUCACUUCAGGCUCACCUGUCCCCUAUUUGCGAACAGCGGUUUGCCGCUCUUCGGGUACCCAUAUAUUACAGAUGUGCCAAUUGCUCCUGAAUGAAGUCUCACUGGGUGAUAGGACCACCCGUCUUUUCUACGAUAAGCGUUCGCGUUUUGGUUCGAACUUCAUUGUGUAUUGCCCAAUGCAAGACGAUCUCCGACACCUGCGCACUUUUUGCGUAGUCCAGUGAUGUCUCUUCAUCACUGUUCGUAUUAACAGCAUGGAAGCAUCGCGUCUGGACAUUCCUUUGAUAUUUUUCAAUGACCAUUCCGACUGAAGUGGAUUGACGGGGUCAUCGCGCAGAUAGACGAUGAUAAGCGCUGUUCUGGGUACACGACGAGCGCCACUUGGACUAGGUGAAGCGUGGUUCACCCACCUGCUGACCACAGAAUAACUGAGUUGUUGUGAGAUGCAGAUCCUGCAUCGCAACCCAGCACAAGGUGCCGAUGUCUUACCGCGGGCAUUCACCAACCCACAGGAUACAUGCCUUUUAUUGAAUACCUGAGAAAAAUCAACCGAAACGAAAAGCGCGUGCUGGUACAGAUGGCCCAGAAUUCACUGCUCUUCAUAUUACACGGUCACUAGAAUGCGACCAGGUUGCACGUACCACAGAAAAUGCAGCAACGUACGCUGCCAGAAUUCACUGCUCUUCAUAUUACACGGUCACUAGAAUGCGACCAGGUUGCACGUACCACAGAAAAUGCAGCAACGUAUGCUGCCUCGGAUACGCGUAAACGGCAGCAGCUCGACGACAAAGCGAGAGCUCCGUACGCAGUAGGCACGCUGUUUCAGUUGACUCGGAAAGCAGCGCAGAGCGAGCCAGCGAAACCAGAGACGUUAACGCGACUCUCUGGGGAUUUUGCGAGCGCGUACAUGCCUGCAGGAGAGGCGGUUUCCACUCUGGAACGCGCCGUUCCGGAGCAGCCCGACAGCGCACUGGACGUCGUCCAGUGCAGUGGCAGUGCGAGCGCUUCAUCAGCGCACCACCUACCAGUGCUUCUCUCGAAUGCUCAACAGGUACUCGAUGCGCUGCGUUGGCGAUCCCGGUGAACCCGCCGCAUUCCCGUUCUUCUCCGACCAGGACAAACAACGCUCACCCGCAUCGAGAGAAGACUUGGGUGAUGCCGUCGCAGCUGCAGCUGCCGUCGCCACCAUCUCCCACAGACGCACCGCACCGCUCUCGUCCGCAGUCACCAGUACCAUUCGAUUCGACAGGGACGCAAGCCGAACGCAGGUGAGCCCAUCGUGAUGGAUGGUCUGCCGAACCGCAGGCUCGAUCUCCGGUACUACGAGUCCACGUCGCGUCUUCCGCGGCGACGGCAGUGCAUUCAAGUCUAGUUCCCAAAUGCACAGACGCGCAUCUUGUCCGACGGUGGCCAAGCGAUAAAACGCAGCAGGUGCAGC
rnacentral:misc_RNA from 1 species